rnacentral:rRNA from 1 species
UGAGGAAUAUUGGUCAAUGGGCGAGAGCCUGAACCAGCCAAGUAGCGUGCAGGAUGACGGCCCUAUGGGUUGUAAACUGCUUUUAUGUGGGGAUAAAGUGCGUGACGUGUCAUGCAUUGCAGGUACCACAUGAAUAAGGACCGGCUAAUUCCGUGCCAGCAGCCGCGGUAAUACGGAAGGUCCGGGCGUUAUCCGGAUUUAUUGGGUUUAAAGGGAGCGUAGGCUGUCUAUUAAGCGUGUUGUGAAAUAUACCGGCUCAACCGGUGGCCUGCAGCGCGAACUGGUCGACUUGAGUAUGCAGGAAGUAGGCGGAAUUCAUGGUGUAGUGGUGAAAUGCUUAGAUAUCAUGACGAACUCCGAUUGCGCAGGCAGCUUACUGUAGCAUAACUGACGCUGAUGCUCGAAAGUGCGGGUAUCAAACAGG